AUUUUCCAGCAGCUUCUGAACAGUUGCAAUGUGCCAUACAAAAAGAGUAGCUUGGUCUCACUUAUGUGCAGAUGAAACAGCACUUUGGAAGGGUACCCUUUACAAGAACAGUUAAAGGUUAAGCAGUUCAGGGGGAAAAAACCUGCUGCCGCCAGAUGCUCAGAUGACUAGAUUCCGAAUAAGCGAAGUAGCAAUAAGUUAUAAUGGCCUAAGAAGAAACAUUGCCAAUACUGAAGUAGAAGGUGUGCUAGUUAUGCAGCUAUUUUCAUUGAUAUGCGUGGAAUUUAAUAAAAACAGAACAGAGGUCGCUCCAAUAGAGAUUUGCCGACAAAUUUUAUUUAUAUAUAUAUUUCUGCCCCAAUAUUUAUAUAUAUUGAUUUCUGCCCCAAUAUUUAUAUAUAUAAAAAUAUUGGGGCAGAAAUCAUCAAAAGAACUGGACACUUCUGCAUGCCUGGAAAUAUGUUGAUGAACCUAAUGGGCAGAAUGGAAAGAGUCAAGACACAAUAGCUAGUAAGUUAACUUCGGCAUGCUGAGUGCACUAUAAAGUUUGAGUGCCCAAAAGGAAGGGAAAUCCAAAUGGGUAAUAUUAUCCAGUUUUCCAACAUGAAGCUCCACAAUACCAACAUUUCUACUGUGAGAACACUGCUUUGAGCAGAACGAGAGAAUAAAAUUGUUACAUACAUAGGCUAGGAUAUCACAUGGAAUAAUCUAUUAUCCUACCAUGAGUCUAGGAGAGUCAAAUGCUCAACUGGUGUAAAUGAGUCUACCUCCAUUGACAUCACUGGAACGACACUGAUUUCAACAAGUUGAAGACCUGACCUUGUGGCAUCAACAGGGCAUUGCUAUUGUUCCUGCUUUUAUACAGCACCCUGACAUAAGCACUAGCCACUUUCUGGUUUGAAUUAUUAAAAGUGAGCUAACUAUGGUACAAAUAUAGAUGAGCGCUUGUAACUGUAUUUGCUUUCCUGUCUUAUUACAAAUGAGCUGAGUAGAAAAGGUUGGGUGGAUUUUUUUUUUUUUUUUUUUUUUACUGACAAUUAGCAUGGAGAAAACAUUAUCUGUUUUGGGCAACAUGAGAGCAUUUGUUUCCUUUUGAGCUUCACCUUUGUUUUUAUAAUUUGCUAGGCUUCUGUCUAUAGAGCACUCAAAGACCAAUAAAGACUUUUUCCCCUCUCUUUAACUGUAACAGUCU